rnacentral:other from 1 species
AGUUCCCUGGGAUGUUUGUUACGGCUUCAGUAAUUAAACCUACAUUUCUUUUUCGGGAGCAUUCGGUCGGAUGGACGGGAUCGAUCCCACACAAGUCGUGGGAUCGCGAAGAAGAUCCGCCUGCGCCCACCUGCGAGUCGCAGGGCAUUAAUUAGGGAGUCGGACGGCAUUUUGGGGCGAUA